rnacentral:rRNA from 1 species
AUUGAACGCUAGCGGGAUGCUUUACACAUGCCAGUCGAACGGCAGCGCGGACUUCGGUCUGGCGGCGAGUGGCGAACGGGUGAGUAGUGUAUCGGAACGUGCCCAGUAGCGGGGGAUAACUACGCGAAAGCGUAGCUAAUACCGCAUACGCCCUACGGGGGAAAGCAGGGGAUCGUAAGACCUUGCACUAUUGGAGCGGCCGAUAUCGGAUUAGCUAGUUGGUGAGGUAACGGCUCACCAAGGCGACGAUCCGUAGCUGGUUUGAGAGGACGACCAGCCACACUGGGACUGAGACACGGCCCAGACUCCUACGGGAGGCAGCAGUGGGGAAUUUUGGACAAUGGGGGCAACCCUGAUCCAGCCAUCCCGCGUGUGCGAUGAAGGCCUUCGGGUUGUAAAGCACUUUUGGCAGGAAAGAAACGUCGCGGGCUAAUACCCCGUGGAACUGACGGUACCUGCAGAAUAAGCACCGGCUAACUACGUG